GGGGUUGAUUUGGUUUUGACAGCAAGACGAGGAUGUAUGUAAGCAUGCCGAGCGUAGUGAAUCUGGCUCGUUAAACUCAGGCACACAAUUUAUAAUUGGCGAAAAUAAUUACGCUCUUGCCGCUUAAUUGAAGUUUAGUAAAUUAAGCAGUCCCGAUUUAUCGGGAUCAUUUCGGUUCUAGGAACUGAAACAAGACAUCUCCCGGAAGCUGCUGUUCUUAGGCUAACCGAAUCGGAGAUGCUAUAAAUUAGGAACUAGUUUGUGUUUUACUCCGCAACACUUACGAAAUUAAGGAGAUAAGGUAUUAAUCGGUGGCUUUGAUCCUGUUAGUACUCGAAAAUUAAGUCAGAGCUAAUCAUGUAGAAAGCGUAUGGUCUCCUUGUUUGGACCCGGGUUCGAGUCCCGGCAGCUCCACUG
rnacentral:tmRNA from 1 species